CCUACGGGAAGCAGCAGUGAGGAAUAUUGGUCAAUGGACGAGAGUCUGAACCAGCCAAGUAGCGUGAAGGAUGACUGCCCUAUGGGUUGUAAACUUCUUUUAUAUGGGAAUAAAAUGUUCCACGUGUGGGAUUUUGUAUGUACCAUAUGAAUAAGGAUCGGCUAACUCCGUGCCAGCAGCCGCGGUAAUACGGAGGAUCCGAGCGUUAUCCGGAUUUAUUGGGUUUAAAGGGAGCGUAGGUGGAUUGUUAAGUCAGUUGUGAAAGUUUGCGGCUCAACCGUAAAAUUGCAGUUGAAACUGGCAGUCGUGAGUACAGUAGAGGUGGGCGGAAUGCGUGGUGUAGCGGUGAAAUGCUUAGAUAUCACGAAGAACUCCGAUUGCGAAGGCAGCUCACUGGACUGCAACUGACACUGAGGCUCGAAAGUGUGGGUAUCAAACAGGAUUAGAUACCCUUGUAGUC
rnacentral:rRNA from 1 species